AUAAUUUUCAAAGAUGGGGAACAACAAUGAAACGUUUUCUUUGCCAUGCUUAUCAAUAAUCACGUUACCAGCAUUGAUCAUCUUUCCACGAACAUCUUUGUUGGGAUCAGCCUGCACUUGAGAAAAACACUCAGUUUCAUAUAAUUUUCUGACAGUCAAAAGCUUCAAGCUAUAGUUUCCGAGAACAACAUAAAAUGUGGGGUUCCAGGUGAAAAUCCUUUGCAACAUGGCUUAGAGUGGGAGAGUUCUUUCAUUUGACAAGCAUUCAGCUGACAAGAUGAGAAGAAAUUCCAGUGCGCGGGAUAUCAAAAAGGUCAUAACAGCAGGAAGGUCCUUUGUUGUCAAUACAUCAGCAGCAGAUUGCAGUGCUAAGGCAAUUCCCUGCCUUCCUAUCCAACCAGCAUCAAAGACAUCUUUACCAAACGUAGCAUCACGGAUGUACAUAGAAAAUAAAGUGGAAAGAGUAAUAAUUAAUCUUGAAAAACCAUACUUAUUGCCACAAAAGUAAUAAUUCAAGAAAGGCAGUAACUUGGAUUGAUGUCGAGCUUUCAUAAAGAGCAUCAGCCAGUGGUUCUGCUGCAGCUAAACAGACAUUGAGAUUUAUAUGAGAAAGUGCUUUAAAUAUUCCUGAAUAAUCAGUCCCCAAAUCAUGACCAUAGCGGGCCUAUAUAUAUAUCAUCUGCUGAUUCUGCCACUGCCUGCAAAAAGCAUAAAGAUCACAGAGCAUCAGAUGGUAUAACUACGAAAAACAAUAGGAGGACAAUAACUUUGGGAGCCCCAGACAAGUACAUCAAUUUAUUAUAGUUGACACGGCAAACAAUGAUAUAAACAGUAUUUGUGUACAAUACAAGAAGAUAACAUAACUAGAUAUCACAUCAAAUUAUACAGGUUAACCUUUUCAGGGUCUUGUAGAGCUAUCCAAAUGUUGGUUGCUAUAUUUAACUUUCUGAGGAAGGGAGCAUUUGGAAACGGCAGCGACAUCAGCUGCUUGCAAUCCAAGACACAAUUCAUUCACGCAGGUCCAACUGAUGCUUGAUAUGCGGGAACAACACCUAGCACAUGAUAUAGAACCUGAAGAAAAUUUAGUUCAGAUGUUAUAUUUGAGAAAGGGAAGCAAGUGGUAAAGAACCUGAAAAAUUUAGAACAAUUUCAGUCGUCACAAAUAAAAAGUGGAAAGAAUUGAGCACAAUGUAAUUGACACUAUAACUGAACGAAUGUACAGUGUAAAAACAGACAGGAUUCAAGUCAUUAAACUAUAUUAUCCGGAUUCUUGGAAGUGGCAGCAUCGGAUCUAGAUGCAUAUACAGAAUAUGAAGCACAUCACUAUGAAGUUUGUCCGCUUUGAUGACAGUAAAAUUCGCUCCAGUAUCUGGCAAGACAAAAUCACAGGUCAUUUAGUGAUAGAAUAUACAAGUUAGAAUGAUGUCAACAGAAAUGGUAAGGAACACGCCGGGAAAAUGAAUGUGAACUACAGGAAGUGGUCCUGAUUUACAAGAUACGGGUACCCCAUUUAUAGUUGUCCUCAUAUGUUUUCCCAUCCUUGUCAAUUGAUGGACGAAAAUCAGAUGAAGCAUCAAGUUCAUCAAUCGCGGUCAAGCGCAGAGAAGUUGAAAUUUCGAGAGCCCAGUUACACAGUGGCUGAACUGUACACCUUGCAAGCAUCUCCAAGUUUUCAAAGGCUGCAGCACUUACAAUAGGUGAUCGCAGCAAUGGAUCCAAAAAAGUAGCCUGGUAAAGUGAUACGGUGAGUGUAAGAGGUUAAUCAUAGAAUUAUAGGAGCCUGAUAUGCCAAAAGAAUAAUAUUCAUGUAAAUAAACAUAAGGAGUAUCAGUGACAGUGGCCGAGGAAUGAAAAAUAAUUGUUUCUGAAAUCUAUUCAUUCACUUUAUAGCAUAUGGAUAUGUAAAACUGUAACUGGCUGUGACAAAACACAGGAUUGGCAAGACCCAUCUCCCCAAGGGCAUGAAGCACCAACGAAAGACUUUUUUGCCGUUUCCUUGCCUCUUCCUUUGCCGUUUUUCCUUUUUCUGCAAUUAUUAAUUCACUGAAGAAUAUAUAUAUGCUGGUGCAAAAUAUUAUUACUAUAGAGUGCUUCAGUAGAUAUGUACCAGCUUUCUUGGUCAACUUUGCAAUGUCCCUUCUCCCCAAAUUUGUAGUUUCUCUACCAGCCAAUCCUUUCUUUAGAGAAUGAUUAGAAGUCUACAACAAGCAAAAAGAAGAAGAUGUUAUUAGAUCAAAUAUAUACUAAAAGUGGAACCAUAUAUCAAAAUCAGCGGUAUGGGAGUUUUUUUUGGAGAUAGUCUCAAAUUCCCUAUAGUUAAAAAAUAAGUGACCCAACAGCCCUUGCUGCGACAGAACAUACCUCGGGAAUUGGAUCCACAAGAACCUGAGAACUCCAGUGUUCAGUUAAUAAACAUCUUAUGCAAGAGACAACUCAUUAUUUUGGUAAGAACAACAGUUUACCUUUCUAACCUCAGGAAGGAGCAAUUCUAUGUAACGAAACAUAUCCUUUGGCUCUAUCACCAAAGAACACAUAGGACGAAGAAUCUAUGGCUUCGACUUGUUGCCGAGCAAGGUACUUCUCUCUUCUCUCCUUCUGAUAGAUGACACAAUAUUUGGUGAAUAAAUGGGAGAAAGAAGGUAAAACAAUGAACAAACCAAAGAUUUUAAAUGUUAUAUAGGUAUAAUUAUCUGUUACCCAUUCGUCUAUGACAAGACCCUCCCCGACCACUCGAGGCCCUGUCUCCACUGCUACUUGAUCCUUUUGCUCAUCAAACUGCACGAUAAACACCCAAAAAUGCAUCAUCGAUAGACUUAUGCCUAAGACUCUCUAAGACGGAGAUGAAAACCUAUUUACCAGUUGCAAUGUUUCAGCCUAUAAGAGUCAAAUUUGGCUACAAAUAUACUCUAAGAGACUAAGAUUGAAUAAAAUUGCCUCCAACAAAUUGACUUUUAUGUAAACUGAUAAGAUUUAGAAAGGACCGACUGAUAACAUACCAACUCAGGCACAUACUCUACUCCUGGUUUAACUUUCAGGCUAAUAAUCUUAAACUUAACCUUGCUCUUCUUGUUCAACUUCUGUUUUUCAUUGUUCUCUGGAUGUUCCACAAACUUGAAAACUGCACUUGAACAUAAACAAGAAGCAAAAAUCAGAGGCUGUAAUUAACUAGUUAAGAGUACAAAAAACCAAAGAUUUCCAGAAUCUCGUUACCAGUAGCAAAAACACUCUCUCCUGGAGCCAAAACACCUCCGGGAGGACGCAUAUAACAACUCUUAGGUGCCGUUGUUUGGAACUAAACAAGAAGAUACAGAGUGACUUAGAUGGAAAAGCACCAAUUAUUAUAUCAUUAUAACUACAUAUAGAACAAACUAAAGUCAACAGAGAGUCAACUUCUCUGCAUUUGCUUAACUUGUUCCCAAAUAAGUAUCAAAUGCGAGAAUCAAGAACCACAAAUUUGAAGUGAAGGAUACAUAAAACUCCAUUACCUUGAAUGCAGUAUGAGAUUUGCUAGUAUUCUUAAGCUUGAUUGCGCUACACACUUGUUUACCAGGUUCAUCUGAAAUAAACACAAAGCACAAGUUCUAACUUCGUUAUCUAAAAAUGGAAAUCCAAAACUCUAGAGCAUCUUGGCACAAAAUCACUUCCACAGAGAGCUUCUCUGUACAAAACCAAUCAGAAUCCAGAACCAAAUCAAGAAAUUUCCAGAGAACUAAACUUAUUCGAAAUCAAGCUAAAUCGAUGGCAGAAUCUCUUAACAAAGAAGACGUACAAGGGAAAUACAGAUAACUUGAAGGAUCUAGUCGGAGACGACGGCGAGCUGGAAGAAGUGAUCUCGCGACGGAAGACAUAGUCAAGGAAGGUGUAGAGACGGGGGAAACAUCUGUAUUCCGAUGUCCAUGGCGGCUACGGUAGUUUUGGUUUGGAUCCUGUGUUGAAGACGAAGAUGAAGAAGUGGUGCUUCUCCUCUGCCAAAACGGACAUAGCCUGAAGAGAUUCUUCUUCUUCUUCUCCACACUAUUUAACUCUAUGUGAAUAUUUUUGGUGCCCCAAUAGGGCAGCACCACCGUGAACAGUUACAAAAACUCAGCAAAAUAUACAUAAAAAAUAUUCAAACACAAACUUGAAUGGCUUCAAAAGCCAACAUGAACUCCAAAAGCAGCACCUAUACAAUAAAUUGUAUAUACCAUAUUAACAUAUAAAUAAAGUUAAAUAAAAUGCAUAAGAAAUACCUGUCAAUUUAAGUGCUUCUUGCAAAGUGACUAUAAGACCAUAUUUCUUCAAGCUAGAAAUUCCAAAGCCCAUAACUACUCCCGCAAGACCAAAAGCUGCUCCUCUACGCUCACCAUAUUUAUCACUCUUCAUUAGCUUAUCCAAGAGCCUCAAAAAAAGGGCAGGGGCAUCCUCCUAACAAAUCAUUAGAGAUAAAUGACGAUAGACAUUAAGCUUCAUCAAACCGACUGAUAUACUCCCCAAGCCAAAGCCACUAGGAACCAAAGGUAUUAUCAAAACUUGUAUAGGUAAGAUCUCAAAAUUUGUAGAAAACAUACUUGCUUUGAUAGCACAAGUGGAGAAGGGCAUGUUGUGACUGCUCGUUUCACAGAUUCUGAUGGUGUGUUCAACACCUCCAACAGCUUUUCCACAACAUUAUGGACUUUAGGAUCAUCCUGCCAUCAUUAGUGAAUAUAUAAGAUAGAGAAGAAAAUCAUGUGCACCAAGACGAUAUUUAAACAAAUGGUAGAACUAUCACUUUUGCCAAGUGAUUUGCUAGUGCUCCAGUGAAUAUAACAACACCCUCACGAACCAGGUCAUAUUCCUCUUCAUCAGAUGCCUACAUGAUAAGAGAUGUGAUGAAGGAGCUUGUUAUAAUCAUGAAACAAACAAUGUAUCCAGCAGGUUUUAAAUUGCGUGUAGAACAGCAAUGAAACGUUUUCUUUGCCAUGCUUAUCAAUAAUCAUGAUACCAGCAUUGAUCCUCUUUCCACGAACAUAUGUGUUGGGAUCAGCCUGCAUAUGAGAAAAACGCUCAGUUUCAUACAAUUUUCUGAAAGUCAAAAGCUUCAAGCUAUAGUUUCUGAAAACAACAUAAAAUGUGGGUUUAUAGGUGAUAAAUUGUGAAACCCAAAUCCUUUGCAACAUGGCUAAGAGGGGGAGGGUUCUUUUAUUUGACAAGCAUUCAUCUGACAAGAUGAGAAGAAAUACCAGUGCGCGGGAUAUCAAUAAGGUCAUAACAGCAGGAAGGUCCUUUGUUGUCAGCAGCAGAUUGCAGUGCUAAGGUUAUUCCUUGCCUUCCUAUCCAACCAGCAUCAAAGACAUCCUCACCAGACAUAGCAUCACGAAUGUACAGAUAAAAUAAAGUUGAAAGAGAUAGCGGCAAAACCAAUUAAUCUUUAAAACCCAUACUUAUGCAACAAAAAGUAAUAAUUCAAGAAAUGCAAUGACCUGGAUUCAACAAGCAAUAAGAAGAAGAUGUCUUUAGAUCCAAUAUG
rnacentral:lncRNA from 1 species